AUAUCUCUCUGUACGGGAAGGAUGAGAAGGUUCGAUUCGAGCGUCAGCGAGAAAGCGUUGCCGCAGGCAACGACCCGAAGGGCGAAG
rnacentral:sRNA from 1 species